UCUCAAUAAUAACAAGACAUCUUUUGAGAAAGAGGGAAAAACCUCCUCAUUGAAACAAAACUCUGGAAGAAAACCAAAACUUUCAGAUAGGGACCGUUGGACUCUUCUGCGAAUUGUUAGAAAGGAUCACAAAAGUACAGGUCCCAGAAUUACUGCAGAAUUUAACGACCACCUUGAGAACCAAGUUUCCAUAAAAACUGUUUGCUGGAAGCUGCACAAAGCCGGAUUUCAUGGGAGGGCUGCAAUCAGAAAACCACUACUUUCAAAAACAAACGUUGCAAUGCGUUUAGAGUGGAGU